GACAGAGGUUGCAAACGUUGUUCGGAAUUACUGGGCAUAAAGAGCACGUAGGUGGUCUGCUAAGUCAGGUGUGAAAUCCCCCGGCUCAACUGGGGAAUUGCGCCUGAUACUGGCAGGCUUGAGGUCGGUAGGGGUGAGCGGAACUCCAGGUGGAGCGGUGAAAUGCGUAGAUAUCUGGAGGAACACCGGUGGCGAAGGCGGCUCACUGGACCGAAUCUGACACUGAGGUGCGAAAGCUAGGGUAGCAAACGGG
rnacentral:rRNA from 1 species